rnacentral:rRNA from 1 species
CACGUAGGCGCCAAGCGUUGUCCGGAUUUAUUGGGCGUAAAGAGCUCGUAGGCGGUUCGAUAAGUCGGGGGUGAAAACUUUGGGCUCAACCCAAAGCGUGCAUUCGAUACUGUUGUGACUAGAGUUCGGUAGGGGAGUGGGGAAUUCCUAGUGUAGCGGUGAAAUGCGCAGAUAUUAGGAGGAACACCGGUGGCGAAGGCGCCACUCUGGGCCGAAACUGACGCUGAGGAGCGAAAGCGUGGGUAGCAAACAGG